GACUCCAAUAUUAAUGCCUUCCCAAGUUUU
rnacentral:piRNA from 1 species